ACGCUCGACACCUACGGGAGGCAGCAGUGGGGAAUAUUGCACAAUGGGGGAAACCCUGAUGCAGCGACGCCGCGUGAGCGAAGAAGUAUCUCGGUAUGUAAAGCUCUAUCAGCAGGGAAGAAGAUGACGGUACCUGACUAAGAAGCACCGGCUAAAUACGUACCAGCAGCCGCAGUAAUCUGAGCGGGCUGGCAAGGC
rnacentral:rRNA from 1 species